GCAUGGUCAAUGUUCAGAAAUGCUCCCUUCUGGCUCCAUCCCCAGCCCUGUGACUUUCUCCAGGGACCGUCUCACCUAAAAGCUCCGAGCUUGACUUAAGCUUGGCCUAGCAGGCCCAGCCUGCCUGGUCACAGGCUUUUCUCCUGUGGAUUAGAAGCUGCAGAACAUGCUAGCAGACACAGUUUGAAUCAAAUCCCUAACAAAGAGAGAAGGCGCAGACCCUGCUUGUUUGCUGAAGCUGCUGGAAACCUUUUGAUUUUCUGGGGAGCCACAGAGGUUGAAGGAGAUUCUGUAGACCUCAGACUUAAUGUCUUCAGUGAUUUUGAAGGGAGCUCGGUUUGGUUUUGCAGGUGGGGAAAUAACAGUGUCAUCUCGGAACGGCAGACACAAUGA
rnacentral:lncRNA from 1 species